rnacentral:lncRNA from 1 species
GGAAACACCUGGACCUGGACCAAAGUCUACCACGAGCGGAGCAACCACGCCGAGCCAACAAUCGGGGACGCCUUCGAAAACAGGAGGCAGACGUACAAGACCGGCAACAGUUGGCUUACCCUCACACUCGGUAAGCCUUACUGAUCGUCGCAUGAUUUGCCCAUUCAACUCU